rnacentral:rRNA from 1 species
GACGUAGGGCGCGAGCGUUGUCCGGAUUUAUUGGGCGUAAAGAGCUCGUAGGCGGUUUGUCGCGUCUGCUGUGAAAACUCGGGGCUUAACCCCGGGCCUGCAGUGGGUACGGGCAGACUAGAGUGCGGUAGGGGAGACUGGAAUUCCUGGUGUAGCGGUGAAAUGCGCAGAUAUCAGGAAGAACACCUAUGGCGAAGGCAGCACUCUGGGACGGUACUGACGCUGAGACGCGAAAGCGUGGGGAGCGAACAGG